GCCACCGUAGCUCAGCAGGUGGAGCGCCGCCUUGGUAAGGCGGAGGUCGCGGGUUCGACUCCCGCCGGUGGCUCCA
rnacentral:tRNA from 2 species